rnacentral:rRNA from 1 species
UUACGGGAGGCAGCAGUGAGGAAUAUUGCGCAAUGGGGGCAACCCUGACGCAGCAACGCCGCGUGAGUGAGGAAGGUUUUCGGACCGUAAAGCUCUGUCGAGCGGGAAGAAAUGCAUGGUGGCUAAUAUCCAUCAUGCUUGACGGUACCGCUAAAGGAAGCACCGGCUAACUCCGUGCCAGCAGCCGCGGUAAUACGGGGGGUGCGAGCGUUGUUCGGAAUUAUUGGGCGUAAAGAGCGUGUAGGCGGCUGAAUAAGUCAGAUGUGAAAUCCCUGGGCUUAACCCAGGACGUGCAUUUGAAACUAUUCGGCUUGAGUAAGGGAGAGGAAAGUGGAAUUCCUGGUGUAGAGGUGAAAUUCGUAGAUAUCAGGAGGAACACCGGUGGCGAAGGCGACUUUCUGGCCCUAUACUGACGCUGAGACGCGAGAGCGUGGGUAGCAAACAGGAUUAGAUACCCUGGUAGG